GAAACCAAAAAACUAGAUCUGCCAUAGAGACCCCCACCAGGGAUUUGAAAACCACGUGUCCUUUGUUUUUACAUGUUAAAACGAGAAUCCUCAUCUGACAGAGGAGAAUAAUGGAGGCAAUUUUGAAAUAAUUUUGCAAUCUCUGAAGGUACAUUGCUUGAUCUCAGCCGAGGUUAUAAGACAGGAAUUUCCCAGUUACCUCACCACUACCCACAGAGGCGUCUGUCAGGAAGUGACUGGCCGGGAGGGUAUACACCAGUGGCAGAUCCAAGAGCCUCCGGUAUUAAGAAGUCUGCAUUAUGGGAAAUUUCCCUGCUCUAAAUCUCAACAGUGAGCAUCCAGGGGCAGAAAAGGAGCCAGGUUGAUUUUCUUUUUUCCAUUCUUAAUUCUGGAGAAAAAAAUAACUGGCGUGUGGGACAAGGCUGAAAAAGGCGGAAACUUGCAGAAAAUCAAAAGAGACACUUUCCCCUUUUACAAAUUCUGCUUAG